UACGAAGGGUGCAAGCGUUACUCGGAAUUACUGGGCGUAAAGCGUGCGUAGGUGGUUCGUUAAGUCUGAUGUGAAAGCCCUAGGCUCAACCUGGGAAUUGCAUUGGAUACUGGCGGGCUAGAGUGCGGUAGAGGAUAGUGGAAUUCCCGGUGUAGCAGUGAAAUGCGUAGAGAUCGGGAGGAACAUCUGUGGCGAAGGCGACUAUCUGGGCCAGCACUGACACUGAGGCACGAAAGCGUGGGGAGCAAACAGG
rnacentral:rRNA from 1 species